rnacentral:rRNA from 1 species
AUUGAACGCUGGCGGCAGGCUUAACACAUGCAAGUCGAACGGUAACAGGAAGCAGCUUGCUGCUUCGCUGACGAGUGGCGGACGGGUGAGUAAUGUCUGGGAAGCUGCCUGAUGGAGGGGGAUAACUACUGGAAACGGUAGCUAAUACCGCAUAAUGUCGCAAGACCAAAGAGGGGGACCUUCUGGCCUCUUGCCAUCGGAUGUGCCCAGAUGGGAUUCGCUUGUUGGUGGGGUAACGGCUCACCAAGGCGACGAUCCCUAGCUGGUCUGAGAGGAUGACCAGCCACACUGGAACUGAGACACGGUCCAGACUCCUACGGGAGGCAGCAGUGGGGAAUAUUGCACAAUGGGCGCAAGCCUGAUGCAGCAAUGCCGCGUGUAUGAAGAAGGCCUUCGGGUUGUAAAGUACUUUAAGCGGGGAGGAAGGGAGUAAAGUUAAUACCUUUGCUCAUUGACGUUACCCGCAGAAGAAGCACCGGCUAACUCCGUG